rnacentral:lncRNA from 1 species
AUGGUGAAAUCCUCCCUGUCCAACAUCUUGUUCAUGUCGGGGAGGUUCCCCCUGUAAUUGAGGGGGGGUCCCAUUAAAGGCUGCCCCAUAAGUGCCCCCNUCUCUAUGGGGCAGGGCUUGCUAUGGGGCAGGGCUCUCUAUGGGUCAGGGUCUCUAUGGGGCAGGGCUCUCUGUGGGGCAGGGCUCUCUGUGGGGCAGGGCUCUCUGUGGGGCAGGGCUCUCUAUGGGGCAGGGCUUGCUAUGGGGCAGGGCUCGCUGUGGGGCAGGGCUCACUAUGGGGCAGGUCUCUCUAUGGGUAAGGUCUCUCUAUGGGGCAGGUUUUGCUGUGGGUCAGGUCUCUCUAUGGGGCAGGUUUUGCUAUGGGUCAGGUCU